AUCAAUGAAUCACAGACUAAAUACGCCGUGUCCUCAUGUCUUCGUCCGUGUGACCCACGUCCCGUGGG
rnacentral:sRNA from 1 species